UACAGAGGUCUCAAGCGUUGUUCGGAUUCAUUGGGCGUAAAGGGUGCGUAGGCGGCGCGGUAAGUCGGGUGUGAAAUCUUGGAGCUUAACUCCGAAACUGCAUUCGAUACUGCCGUGCUUGAGGACUGGAGAGGAGACUGGAAUUUACGGUGUAGCGGUGAAAUGCGUAGAUAUCGGGAGGAACACCUGUGGCGAAAGCGGCGCACUGGACCACAACUGACGCUGAGGCGCGAAAGCUAGGGGAGCAAACAGG
rnacentral:rRNA from 1 species